GACGAACGCUGGCGGCGUGCUUAACACAUGCAAGUCGAACGGAAAGGCCCUGCUUUUGUGGGGUGCUCGAGUGGCGAACGGGUGAGUAACACGUGAGUAACCUGCCCUUGACUUUGGGAUAACUUCAGGAAACUGGGGCUAAUACCGGAUAGGAGCUCCUGCUGCAUGGUGGGGGUUGGAAAGUUUCGGCGGUUGGGGAUGGACUCGCGGCUUAUCAGCUUGUUGGUGGGGUAGUGGCUUACCAAGGCUUUGACGGGUAGCCGGCCUGAGAGGGUGACCGGCCACAUUGGGCCUGAGAUACGGCCCAGACGCCUACGGGACGCAGCAGUGGGGAAUAUUGCACAAUGGGCGGACGCCUGAUGCAGCAACGCCGCGUGCGGGAUGACGGCCUUCGGGUUGUAAACCGCUUUCGCCUGUGACGAAGCGUGAGUGACGGUAAUGGGUAAAGAAGCACCGGCUAACUACGUG
rnacentral:rRNA from 1 species